UGAGUGUGCUGCUCCGGGGGUCCGUGGCUGGCGCAGCGGGCUUCAAGGUGGGAUGUCACAGGCCGAGAGGGGCAGUGUGUGCGCAGCCGCCUGCACCGACGUCUCCGCCAGCUUCCAUCCGCCUCCCCAGGCCAACUCGCUGCGGCGCCGCGUUUGGGGACACCUAAAAUCUGUUCUCCGAUUGGGUGAACGUGGGCUUCUGCGUCUUAGGCAUUAUUGUGAUGGCCGCCACCAAUUCUCUGAUGUGGACGUUCUUUAGCCGGGGCCUCAGUGUUUCCAUGUCUUCAGCCAUUGCAUCUGUCACAGUGACUUUUUCAAAUAUCCUCAGCUCGGCCUUCCUGGGUUUUGUGUUGUAUGGAGAGUGCCAGGAGGUCUCGUGGUGGGGAGGAGUCUUCCUCAUCCUCUGCAGACUCACCCUGAUCCACAGGGAGCUCCCACCACCCAGGAAGGCUCUCCCACACAAGCAGCAGUAGCGCCAGCGGGCUGGGCGGACCCGCUGGAAAGAGCGAUGGCGGCUCAGGCUCGGGUUGGCGUGUGGGGACUGCUUCUCAGGGCGAUCUGGGUGUGCAGCCUUCUGACCCUCGGCCAAAGAGAGAUGCUUCCCAGGGAACCAGGCCUGUGACCGAGCAGCCUUGCGGGUGGACAGCUCCGGCUUCGCAGCAGUGUUCUGCCCGAAGCCUUCUCGGUCCGUCUGCUCGGUGCUGUUGAUUCUCACGCUCCACAACCCACCCAGUGAGCCAUGGCAGGUGUGGGAGACCCUGGGGUUGGUGGGCUUCCUGUAUGGACUUGAAACCAUGCUGUAACUGCAGUCCUGUUGCCUAACAAAGGCCAGUCAUGGGAUUUUGGAAUCAGUGACUGGUGGGGCUUUCAACAACUUCACACUGAUAUGUCAGGCCGUCAGCGUCAUGCUUCUGGAU